rnacentral:rRNA from 1 species
GACAGAGGUGCCGAGCGUUAGGCGGAAUCACUGGGCUUAAAGCGUGUGUAGGCGGAUGCCUAAGUACCUUGUGAAAUCCCACGGCUCAACCGUGGAACUGCUUGGUAUACUGGGUGUCUUGAGCCACUUAGGGGCAACCGGAACAAACGGUGGAGCGGUGAAAUGCGUAGAUAAUCGUUUGGAACGCCAAGUGGUGAAAACAGGUUGCUGGGAGUGUGCUGA